ensembl:lncRNA
GUACAAUCUUCCAAGAUGGCGUAGCAGUCAGACGUCUUGUUCUGUCGUGUCCCUUGUAUAUAUCGUUUGUACAUAUUUUUAUUCGCAUAUCUUUUUAAAUAUUUUGCUAAACCUCAACCUCUAAAUACUCUCCUGCAACCCGCCUCACCCAAUGUAGCGUGGAUCUGCUUUUUUUUCUAAAGUAUUUAUAUUUACUUCGGAUCUGGAACCCGUCAACUGAAGCUAGCCAGCUAACUACCAGCUAUCAGUCAGCAAACCAUUGCUAGCUGUCAUCAGCUAACCUUUAGCUCGGAAAGCUCUCGCCAGUUCGAACAACGCAACUCUAACCAGAGCAUAACGGACCUAUUAUUUUUAGUUCCGCAUACGGAACAUUUUCAACUGGAUCUUCACAACUAGCUAACCGCAACCCCGGAUGACUACUCCUGGCUAGCAUUUCCAUCCACUUAGGUUGAAGCUAGCCCGGCCAGAGCUACUGUGCUACUCCUGGGCUACAAUAUCCGGACAUCUUCUACAGCCGGUACGGGGCAUGGAACCCCGCAGAUCCCCUACGUCAGGAAUACUGACAUAAUCUGCCCGAGGACUCAGGCGCGACGCCUGUUGAAGGCCCAUUAUGCUAACCAGCUAGGCCUGCUUAGCUACCUAGAGCUAUUUGGAAUCCUACUAAUUCCAUGACCAGUCUAUCGACAUCACCGCAUGAAGAGGCAUAAACAGACUUAACUACAUCGUGACUUUCCCCAAAGGCUAACUUUCUAGCCCUUGCUAUCUGCUUGCUUGCUAAUUCGGCCUGCUAAAUGCUAGCCUGCCCGGGUCUACUAACUGCUAGCUUGUUUAGCCCCGGUAUGCUAACUGCUAGCUUGUUUAGCCCCGGCCUACUAACUGUUAGCUUGUUAGCACAGGCUUGCUAACUGUCUGAAUCGCCGUGUCCCCAGCCAGCCCAACCACUCACUGGACCCAUAUUUAUUUUCAAUCUCUUUUCGAUUUUUAAUUUGAUUAUACCUUCCAGUAACCUGCCUCACCCAAUGUGAUACGGAAUCGCUAUUAUUUUUAACUUUAGAACACAUUCAAGAACCUCCAGAAGCUAACCCGCUAACUAGCUACAAGCUAUUUAGUCAUUGUUAGCCACUGCUAUUACCUUCUGCACAGCCAGCCAGUUUUUUCAGCCUGGAUAAUACUCGCCAGUCUACCAGUAUCGAACUGUCUCUCCACAACAACGCUGGAUUCUUGCCGUAAUGGACCACUACUUCUGAUCUUCACAGCUAGCUUGCACCCAGUACCGAAGCUAUCCCUGAGGCCCACUUCCCGGCCUACUCAGCUGUUCACCCGAACCACACUCAUACAUGGCUAGAGCCCAAUACUCCACCGGAUACUUGCUGUAAACUCUGGACCUUGGCUAACGCCACUGCCACGAAGCUAGCACCAGUUAGCCGUGAGCCAGGCACAUCUCCCUGCUAGCAGGCACAUCUCCCUGCCAACCCCCUACCACCCCCGGGCUACUAACUUUAAACACUGUGUCGCUAGCAUAGUGGCGACUUCCCUCUCCCAUCUACUGCUGCCCCCUGGACACUGUGAUCACUUGGCUACAUAGCUGAUGCCUGCUGGACUGUCCAUUAUUCAUGGACCUGAGCCCUAGGACCAUGCCCCAGGACUACCUGACAUGAUGACUCCUUGCUGUCCCCAGUCCACCUGACCGUGCUGCUGCUCCAGUUUCAACUGUUCUGCCUUAUUAUUAUACGACCAUGUUGGUCAUUUAUGAACAUUUGAACAUCUUGGCCAUGUUCUGUUAUAAUCUCCACCCGGCACAGCCAGAAGAGGACUGUCCACCCCACAUAGCCUGGUUCCUCUCUAGGUUUCUUCCUAGGUUUUGGCCUUUCUAGGGAGUUUUUCCUAGCCACCGUGCUUCUACACCUGCAUUGCUUGCUGUUUGGGGUUUUAGGCUGGGUUUCUGUACAGCACUUUGAGAUAUCAGCUGAUGUACGAAGGGCUAUAUACAUAAAUUUGAUUUGAUUUUGAUUUGAUAUUGGAGGUAUGCGACAUUAUUCUUCCACAAGAAAUUCCAUAAUUUGGUGUUUUGUUGAUGGUGGUGAAAAACGUUGUCUCAGGAGCCGCUCCAGAAUCUCCCAUAACUGUUCAAUUGGGUUGAGACCUGGUGACUGAGACGGCCGUGGCAGAUGGUUUACAUCGUUUUCAUGCUCAUCAAACCAUGCAGUGACCUCUCGUGCCCUGUGGGGGCAUUGUCAUCCUAUCCCACUGGGCACACACUGGUUGAAUCAACGUUGUUUCCAC